ACGACGUCAAGUCAUCAUGGCCCUUACGAGUAGGGCUACACACGUGCUACAAUGGCGCAUACAGAGGGCUGCAAGCUAGCGAUAGUGAGCGAAUCCCAAAAAGUGCGUCGUAGUCCGGAUUGGAGUCUGCAACUCGACUCCAUGAAGUCGGAAUCGCUAGUAAUCGUAGAUCAGAAUGCUACGGUGAAUACGUUCCCGGGCCUUGUACACACCGCCCGUCACACCAUGGGAGUGGGCUGCAAAAGAAGUGGGUAGUUUAACCUUCGGGAGGACGCUCACCACUUUGUGGUUCAUGACUGGGGUGAAGUCGUAACAAGGUAGCCCUAGGGGAACCUGGGGCUGGAUCACCUCCUUA
rnacentral:rRNA from 1 species